GAACUGCUGUGGUAUACGAAUUCAUACCUAUGUGUUGACCGACUAUUUUUGUAUUACUAGGGAAACAAGUGUUUUCUAACAGUAUGCAGGCCGUCUCACACGGAAGCGACUGAAGUUAGAAACGAGUUACCCACCUGCUACUUACUGUGCGGGAUCAAUACAAUUCAUGAAUCACCGGUACCAAUACAGCGUUUUU
rfam:Streptococcus cuniculi strain NED12-00049-6B 6, whole genome shotgun sequence.